rnacentral:rRNA from 1 species
GAUGAACGCUGGCGGCGUGCCUAAUACAUGCAAGUCGAGCGAAGCGGGGACGGGUGAGUAACACGUGGAUAACCUCCUUUAAGACUGGGAUAACUUCGGGAAACCGGAGCUAAACCGGCUACUUAUAGAUGGAUCCGCGCGGCAUUAGCUAGUUGGUACGGUAAAGGCUUACCAAGGCAACGAUGCGUAGCCGACCGGAGAGGGGGGUCGGCCGCACGGGAACUGAGACAGGGUGCAGGGUCCUACGGGAGGCAGCAGUAGGGAAUCUGCCGCAAUGGGCGAGAGCCUGACAGAGCGACGCCGCGUGAGUGAUGAAGGUCUUGGGAUCGGAAAACUCUGUUAUUAGGGAAGCGGUACCUGAUCAGAAAGCCACGGCUAACUACGUGCCAGCAGCCGCGGUAAUUC